rnacentral:rRNA from 1 species
CAAACGACUCUCGGCAACGGAUAUCUCGGCUCUUGCAUCGAUGAAGAACGUAGCGAAAUGCGAUACUUGGUGUGAAUUGCAGAAUCCCGUGAACCAUCGAGUCUUUGAACGCAAGUUGCGCCCGAAGUCUUUCAGACCGAGGGCACGUCUGCCUGGGCGUCACAC